rnacentral:rRNA from 1 species
AUACAUGCAGUCGAGCGGAUUGAUGGGAGCUUGCUCCCUGAAAUCAGCGGCGGACGGGUGAGUAACACGUGGGUAACCUGCCUGUAAGACUGGGAUAACUCCGGGAAACCGGGGCUAAUACCGGAUAGUUCUUUUCCUCGCAUGAGGAAAAGUGGAAAGGCGGCUUCGGCUGCCACUUACAGAUGGACCCGCGGCGCAUUAGCUAGUUGGUGAGGUAACGGCUCACCAAGGCAACGAUGCGUAGCCGACCUGAGAGGGUGAUCGGCCACACUGGGACUGAGACACGGCCCAGACUCCUACGGGAGGCAGCAGUAGGGAAUCUUCCGCAAUGGACGAAAGUCUGACGGAGCAACGCCGCGUGAGUGAUGAAGGUUUUCGGAUCGUAAAGCUCUGUUGUUAGGGAAGAACAAGUGCCGUUCGAAUAGGGCGGCACCUUGACGGUACCUAACCAGAAAGCCACGGCUAACUACGUGCCAGCAGCCGCGGUAAUACGUAGGUGGCAAGCGUUGUCCGGAAUUAUUGGGCGUAAAGCGCGCGCAGGCGGUCUCUUAAGUCUGAUGUGAAAGCCCACGGCUCAACCGUGGAGGGUCAUUGGAAACUGGGGGACUUGAGUACAGAAGAGGAAAGUGGAAUUCCACGUGUAGCGGUGAAAUGCGUAGAUAUGUGGAGGAACACCAGUGGCGAAGGCGACUUUCUGGUCUGUAACUGACGCUGAGGCGCGAAAGCGUGGGGAG